GGAAUUUUGCGCAAUGGACGAAAGUCUGACGCAGCAACGCCGCGUGAGGGAUGAAGGCCUUCGGGUUGUAAACCUCUUUUCUCAGGGAAGAUAAUGACGGUACCUGAGGAAUAAGCCACGGCUAACUACGUGCCAGCAGCCGCGGUAAUACGUAGGUGGCGAGCGUUGUCCGGAUUUACUGGGCGUAAAGAGCGCGCAGGCGGUCGUACAAGUCGCGUGUGAAAGCCCCCGGCUCAACUGGGGAGGGUCACGCGAUACUGUUCGACUCGAAGGCAGGAGAGGGAAGUGGAAUUCCCGGUGUAGUGGUGAAAUGCCUAGAUAUCGGGAGGAACACCAGUGGCGAAGGCGACUUCCUGGCCUGUUCUUGACGCUGAGGCGCGAAACCUAGGGUAGCAAACG
rnacentral:rRNA from 1 species